UCAAGACAUAUGGACCCUGUCGAUGGAGAUCGAGAUGACAAGAUGAGAUGUGACGUUGUAUUGAGAGACCUUGGCCCGAGCAGAGACAACGUUGAGCUGAAUGACUUGACCUAGCAUAUAGGCAAGUUGGAUGUGUCGCAGACGAUUGAACAUGCACGCGCAGGCGGCGUGUGUGGUUGAACAAACUUGGAUUCCGCACAAACGAUGUUCGAUUGGUGAAGACAAACCUCGUCUAAGGUCCGACGAAGUCACAAAGCCGAGGUGAAAAAUAUAUAUGGGGCUUAAUUCCCCUUAAGGCUGGUCGUGAGCGUGUCAAGAUCACGACGCCGCACGGUAAAAAAUGAUAUUAGGAUAGGUUCCGAAUUGCUGGCGAUGACUUAGUAAAGGGAAUCUAUGAGCCCAACACGAUCAUAUGUGAUGAACAAGAAUUGAAGAUAGGAUGCAAGACAAGAAUAGGACAAGAAUCGAUAGGAUGCCGUAGCUUUAAGAGAGAGGGGCAGAGUGCCCACCUAAUACUGUAGAAGUAAGCUCAUCGGCAUUAAAGGAGAAGUAGUGGAGCACGUCAAGGCACUUCUUGAUCCCCGUCUGCCCGACCGGCAUAUAGAUAUACAUGCACACACAAUUUGUAAUAACCCAGACCUACAUAUAUUGUCCUCUUUGGACUUUUCCAUUCGAACUUUCCCUUAAAGCUUUAAAACGCAUUUGCAACGAAAAGAUUUCCCCACCUUUAUAAAAGAUGUUUCGUUCUCAUA